UUUCUAUAUUAUUACCAUAGAAUAAUGUCCUAUCUACACGGAAACCGCGACGAUAAGAGUAAAAUGGUCAAUUGUCGAUGCAGACAUAUGUAAAAAAUUGCUAACAUCGUGCUCACUGGAGGAUUGUUAAAGGGAUUUUUAUUUCUAUAUUAUUUCUUUUAUUGUAUAUAGAGCCUGUUUUCUAACAUACCUUAUGACCAAGAAUUUUUCUUCACGUAAAUGAUGGUUGCUGACUAUAUCUGCGGCGUACUUCUAUUGUUCGAACUUUAUGCUGGCUAAAGAGAUUUCCGCAUUGAAAUUUUUUGGUUACAUUAAGAGUUUAUUGACCGGAAUCAUUGAUUGAACUAGACUACAGUACAAAAAUGUCAAAUGGAAUUUCUACCAAUUAGUUAAGAUAGGGGUUUGGUGUGAAUUAAUGCUGUUGGGUUAUUUAUAGAUAAUAUGGAUUAGAGUUUUAUUGUAUUGUUUACCAAAUAACUACCAAGCUAAUUUGUUUAAAUAAAAAAUUCUCUAUAUUCGA
rnacentral:sRNA from 1 species